GGGAUGACGUCAAGUCCUCAUGGCCCUUAUAGGUGGGGCUACACACGUCAUACAAUGGCUGGUACAAAGGGUUGCCAACCCGCGAGGGGGAGCUAAUCCCAUAAAGCCAGUCGUAGUCCGGAUCGCAGUCUGCAACUCGACUGCGUGAAGUCGGAAUCGCUAGUAAUCGUGGAUCAGAAUGUCACGGUGAAUACGUUCCCGGGUCUUGUACACACCGCCCGUCACACCAUGGAGCGGGUUCUGCCAGAAGUAGU
rnacentral:rRNA from 1 species